UACGUAGGUGGCAAGCGUUGUCCGGAUUUACUGGGCGUAAAGAGCGCGCAGGCGGUCGUUCAAGUCGCGUGUGAAAGCCCCCGGCUCAACUGGGGAGGGUCACGCGAUACUGAUCGACUCGAAGGCAGGAGAGGGUAGUGGAAUUCCCGGUGUAGUGGUGAAAUCCGUAAAUAUACGAAGGAACGCCAAAAGCGAAGGCAGCUCUCUGGGUCCCUACCGACGCUGGGGUGCGAAAGCAUGGGGAGCGAACAGG
rnacentral:rRNA from 1 species